UACGAAGGGGGCUAGCGUUGCUCGGAAUCACUGGGCGUAAAGGGCGCGUAGGCGGGCCCGCAAGUCAGGGGUGAAAUCCCACGGCUCAACCGUGGAAGUGCCUUUGAUACUGCGGGUCUGGAGGGAGGUAGGGGCGUGCGGAACUUCCGGUGGAGCGGUGAAAUGCGUAGAUAUCGGAAGGAACACCGGUGGCGAAAGCGGCGCGCUGGACCUCUACUGACGCUGAGGCGCGAAAGCCAGGGGAGCAAACGGG
rnacentral:rRNA from 1 species